UUGUGCCCCUCUGUUGAGCUACACGUUACCCUCUCAGGUGGGUGCGUUCACUUUUUGAGUUUUUUUUUCUUGUUCUAACUUCAAAAUAGAAAUUCACCUCGCUGCCGGUGUGUGCUAACACCAACAGGUUGAGGUUUCCACGGACACUUUGGCGUGAAGAGGAGUUUUCUUUGCACGGUGUUACACGGCAGAUAUCUUCACCCAGCACAGAUGCUGUUCAGCCAUCUGACAGUCUUUUCAGUAGGAGUGUACUGACGCCUUCUGAUAUGAAAAUAUGGGGUAAAAAGAUCCACAGUCCACUCUGUGCAAAAACUGCUAGGGUGUAGCUACUGAUCCUAUACUACAGCAGAAAGAGUGAGAGUGAGAGGGAGGAGGGACAUCAGGUGUCACAGCUCUGCAACCCCAGUUGAGGCUGCAUUACCACGACAACCAGCUCCAGGGGUGCCGCCAGCUCUCUGCCUCACAAGCCCAGCACCCGGCCAGUCGUCCAGCCUGCCAUCCAGCUAUCCUCUCAUCCAUCUACCCAGCCCACCCGUCCGCCCGGCCGCCAGCCAGCCAGGCCGGCCCUGCCCUGCCCAGAACUGGCAACCUGCAGGAGUCAUCAGGGUUAGUGCGCCUUUGGCAGGCCUCUGUGCCAAAACCAUCUUUGUCACAGAUGUAGUGAAGAUUAGGAAAGAGGAUGAGGGAGAGCUGACUCUGACCCCCAAGCGGACGCAAUGAGAUGGAACCACUUAUCUUCCUUCAGAUGGAAAACCACCUCCACCAUCAGAGCCCCAUCUGCUGGCCUGGUAGGGAGGGACAGCUGGUGUUGUGAAUCAGGCCGCCACAGUCUAGGGACCGGCUACUUCCCAACACCAGGGUCUCACCCUUACCACGCACAUCUUACCAGACUUCAUCUCUGUCUCGAAGAAUUCAGGCAAAACAUAUUCUACAUGCUUGUUACUGCUUUUAGUGUUAGAUAUAUUUCGCAAAAAUGUAUAUAAAAAAUGUGUUGAAUUUAUUUUCAAAACCUCAUUUAAUACACACAGCAAACAUAACUUAAUUUACAAUUAAAAUAAAGUUUCCUUUAAGAAGAAAACAUCAUAAACAUGUAUUGAAUAUGUUUGUGUUUCCUUUAUUUUCAUUAUUCAGGACAUUCAAGAAAUCACAUGAAAAAUACCUGAUCAAGAUGUGAUAUGUUUGAAAAUGUCUUCAUGCAUUUGUUGUAUUUUGUUGUAUUUUGUUAGAAUGUAUUUUCAAAGAGAAAGUUUGAACUUUUGACCAUUUGAACUCAUUGCAUUGAAAGAAAAAGUCUGAGCCAGCUACCUCUACCUGUCUCCUAAUGCUGCCUGCAUUGCAUUUUGACAAAUUUUCACAAGGAAUGAGUGACAUAAUGAUUUUUAAGUAGUGUUCAAUAUUCAAUGUUAACUGUUCUAUUUACUCCUGGCAUGUGACCCUGCAGGUUUAAACUGCUGUUGUGGAGUGGUGUAUCUUGAAUUCCUAUUUCCCAUCAACUGUAUCACUAGAGUUUGUUCCUACUGCAAUUGGUGUCCUUUUCUCCAAGAUAAGAUAAUAGUUUCUAUUAUUUGCUUUGGCCAGCACAAGCAAAUCCAUUCACCAGUCUUUUGUAUCAUUAUUUUGUAGACACCCUUGUUUCUGCACAAACUAUGAACUAAAUCCAUUCCAGUUUGUUAAUAAAAUCAUUUUUUGUACAACUUAAAAAUGUUCAAUUAUUAAAAUAUAGAGACUAGUAUGGAAAUAAGUGAUAAG